AGUGAACGCUGGCGGCGUGCUUAACACAUGCAAGUCGAACGAUGAAACUCUAGCUUGCUAGAGUGGAUUAGUGGCGCACGGGUGAGUAAUAUAUAGAUAAUGUGCCUCUUAGUCUGGGAUAGCCAUUGGAAACGAUGAUUAAUACUAGAUACUCCUUCUAAUCAUAUGAUUAGUUGGGAAAGUUUUUCGCUAAGAGAUCAGUCUAUAUCGCAUCAGUUAGUUGGUAGGGUAACGGCCUACCAAGACAAUGACGCGUAGCGGGUUUGAGAGGAUGAUCCGCCACACUGGUACUGAGACACGGACCAGACUCCUACGGGAGGCAGCAGUGAGGAAUAUUGCACAAUGGGGGAAACCCUGAUGCAGCAACGCCGCGUGGAGGAUGACGCAUUUCGGUGUGUAAACUCCUUUUAUGAGUCAAGAAAAUGACGGUAGCUCAUGAAUAAGCACCGGCUAACUCCGUGCCAGCCGCC
rnacentral:rRNA from 1 species